UACGUAGGGGGCUAGCGUUGUCCGGAAUCAUUGGGCGUAAAGCGCGUGUAGGCGGUCCGGUAAGUCCGCUGUGAAAGUCGGGGGCUCAACCCUCGAAUGCCGGUGGAUACUGUCGGGCUAGAGUGCGGAAGAGGCGAGUGGAAUUCCUGGUGUAGCGGUGAAAUGCGCAGAUAUCGGGAGGAACACCGGUGGCGAAGGCGGUUCUCUGGGCCUUACCCUGGACGCUGAGGAGCGAAAGCGUGGGGAGCGAACAGG
rnacentral:rRNA from 1 species